CACGAACGCUGGCGGCAGGCUUAACACAUGCAAGUCGAGCGCCCCGCAAGGGGAGCGGCAGACGGGUGAGUAACGCGUGGGACUCUACCCAUCUCUACGGAAUAACGCAUGGAAACGUGUGCUAAUACCGUAUACGUCCUUCUGGAGAAAGAUUUAUCGGAGAUGGAUGAGCCCGCGUUGGAUUAGCUAGUUAGUGGGGUAAAGGCCUACCAAGGCGGCGAUCCAUAGCUGGUCUGAGGGGAUGAUCAGCCACACUGGGACUGAGACACGGCCCAGACUCCUACGGGAGGCAGCAGUGGGGAAUAUUGGACAAUGGGCGCAAGCCUGAUCCAGCCAUGCCGCGUGAGUGAUGAAGGCCCUAGGGUUGUAAAGCUCUUUCACCGGUGAAGAUAAUGACGGUAACCGGAGAAGAAGCCCCGGCUAACUUCGUGCCAGCAGCCGCAGUAACAC
rnacentral:rRNA from 1 species